rnacentral:tRNA from 1 species
GGGGUUGCGGCUCAGGGGUAGAGUGCUCGCCUAGCAUGUGUGAGGCACUGGGUUCAAUCCUCAGCACCACA